rnacentral:lncRNA from 1 species
UAGAGAGCCGGAGACUCUUGGAAUGGCAGGAACAGCGACGAAGAGGUUGGGAGCUCAGGUGUGUUUCAACAGGGGCACACAAGCCUGGCCCAAGACUGAACACAGGUCUCAGAGAAAUGGUGACGGAUUUGGGCCAGGCCACAAACCAGGGUCACCAGGAAGGGUUGGUUUCGGGACAUUUAAAAUGGCAGCAGUUAUAUGUUGGUUGGGUCUGCAUCUCAUGAGAAGAGCAGGAAGAGCUUCAAGCGCAAGGUGAAUGAGAAACCCAGUGCUUGAGGAGAGAGUGGUGCCGUCCCCCCCCCCCCCCCCCACCACCACUCUGCCUUCAGCCACGCGAAGCCACCGCUAGGCUCUCCACUGAGGAGUUGCUGUUGAUGCUGAUCUGGCUUUUCAAGAACCGUCCAAUCCUGAGCGGCCUCCAGACGAAACCAAGCAGGAGAGGCGCCUAAAUCCUGGCUUUUUGUUCUUCUGGCUUCCACUGUCUUCUAGAAAAGCCCACAGGAAUUGGAAAGCCAGAGUGCCAUUUUCCUAGGAGUUACCUGUUGUGGAUGUUGAGUAACCAUUCCCUUCAAAUCCGUGGAAGUUUUAAAGAAAGACUCAACAACUUUCUAAACAGCAUCCUUUCCCCAACAGUGGAAAACCUGGUGCUUCGGGCAAAGCAACUCCUUGCCUUUCUGCCUCACUGGCUUCACAGAGUGAGGAAAGCCACUGUACUGACUGGUUUUAUGUCAACUUGACACAAACUAGAGUCACCCGAAAGGAGGGACUCUCAAUUAAGAAAAUGUUUCCAUAAGAUCCAGCUUGUGUGUGGGGCCACCCCUGGGCUGGUGGUCCAGAGUUCUAUCAGAAAGCAGGCCUGAACAAAGCAUGAUGAGCAAGCCAGUAAGCAGCCCUCCUCCGUGGUCUCUGCAUCAGCUCCUGCCUCCAGGCUCCUGCCCUGUUUGAGUUCUUGUCCUGACUUGUUUCAGUGAUGGACUACAACGUGGAAAUCCCUGUCUUCAGGUUAUAGUCCAGGAAGAUCCACCAACAUCCAAGUUGGAGACUCAAGAGAAAGCCACCCAUUGUAUCCUCUGGCAACCAUGAACAAAUUUUCUUCCCUGGCAUGCAGAGUUAUGGAAUCCUGAAGACAAUGGAAACAAAUGUCAUCUAGAAUCCCAGUAAAUAAACAUAUUUCUUUUAUUUCUUAAAGGUUUGUUUCUUAUGUAUACAGUGUUCUGUCUGCACGUACCCCUGUAGGCCAGAAGAGGGCACCAGAUCUCAUUACAGAUGGUUGUGAACCACCAUGUGGUUGCUGAGAAUUGAACUCAGGAUCUCUGGAAGAGCAGCCAGUGCUCUUAACCUCUGAG